rnacentral:lncRNA from 1 species
ACCUCUCCCUGACUGAUCAGUUCUGCAUAACAAUUGAUUUUUAGAGAAGCAACACUUUAUCAAGUUAUACAAUAUAAAGUUGAAUAUUCUUUCCAAGAGUCUUCUAUUUGCAUAGUUAAGAAAAUUGACUUUUUUGAUCCCCUCGAAACAAAAAAAUUGCUACCUAACGAUGACUUUUCUUGUUUACUUCCUGGUGUUUCUUAUCUGGGAACAUUCAGUACUUUGGGUGCAGCAAUCCUUCUUUGUAUGGGACUGCCACACACAUGACAGCAUCUAGCUUCCUGUCACCAACACAAAUAGUGUCUCCUAGUUGUUAUGGUAUGUUAAGACCCCUACACAUUUCUACCUGUCCCCUAUGGAGGUAGUAGUGCCCCCUGUUUG